rnacentral:misc_RNA from 1 species
AGCCUCAACGGCACCUCAGGUUCCUCCUUGACGCUGAGCCCCAACACCACAACAGCAAUCCCCACGAAGGCGAAAUUCCACAACACAUCUAGCACAAUAAUAGGCUUGGAGUAAGCCCAAUCGCUCUGGCGCCCCUCGAGCUGCUCCGCCGCAUUUUCGCGCACCCGGACAGAGGGCUCCCGAAGCAUCAUGCGACGGCUGCUGGCUCGCCGGAGGAGCCGAGCAGCUGCACCACGGAGGGGCUGCGGCGGGUGGCGCAGGAGACGUCGGCUUCGGAGGAGGUGGUCGGCAAUCGAG